CCUACGGGUGGCAGCAGUGGGGAAUAUUGGACAAUGGGGGCAACCCUGAUCCAGCCAUGCCGCGUGUGUGAAGAAGGCCCUCGGGUUGUAAAGCACUUUCAGUGAGGAAGAACGCCUGGUGGUUAAUACCCAUCAGGAAAGACAUCACUCACAGAAGAAGCACCGGCUAACUCCGUGCCAGCAGCCGCGGUAAUACGGAGGGUGCGAGCGUUAAUCGGAAUUACUGGGCGUAAAGCGCGCGUAGGUGGCUUGAUAAGCCGGUUGUGAAAGCCCCGGGCUCAACCUGGGAACGGCAUCCGGAACUGUCAAGCUAGAGUGCAGGAGAGGAAGGUAGACUUCCCGGUGUAGCGGUGAAAUGCGUAGAGAUCGGGAGGAAUACCAGUGGCGAAGGCGGCCUUCUGGACUGACACUGACACUGAGGUGCGAAAGCGUGGGUAGCAAACAGGAUUAGAUACCCUAGUAGUC
rnacentral:rRNA from 1 species